UAGGGAAUUUUGGACAAUGGGCGCAAGCCUGAUCCAGCCAUGCCGCGUGCAGGAAGAAGGCCUUCGGGUUGUAAACUGCUUUUGUACGGAGCGAAAAGCCCCUGGCGAAUAACCGGGGGUCAUGACGGUACCGUAAGAAUAAGCACCGGCUAACUACGUGCCAGCAGCCGCGGUAAUACGUAGGGUGCAAGCGUUAAUCGGAAUUACUGGGCGUAAAGCGUGCGCAGGCGGUUUUGUAAGACAGAGGUGAAAUCCCCGGGCUCAACCUGGGAACUGCCUUUGUGACUGCAAAGCUGGAGUGCGGCAGAGGGGGAUGGAAUUCCGCGUGUAGCAGUGAAAUGCGUAGAUAUGCGGAGGAACACCGAUGGCGAAGGCAAUCCCCUGGGCCUGCACUGACGCUCAUGCACGAAAGCGUGGGGAGCAAACA
rnacentral:rRNA from 1 species